rnacentral:rRNA from 1 species
GUACUCCUUGCUCAAUUCCGGUUGAUCCUGCCGGAGGCCACUGCUAUGGGGGUCCGACUAAGCCAUGCGAGUCAUGGGGCGCGCUCUGCGCGCACCGGCGGACGGCUCAGUAACACGUCGGUAACCUACCCUCGGGAGGGGGAUAACCCCGGGAAACUGGGGCUAAUCCCCCAUAGGCCUGGGGUACUGGAAGGUCCCCAGGCCGAAAGGGGCUCUGCCCGCCCGAGGAUGGGCCGGCGGCCGAUUAGGUAGUUGGUGGGGUAACGGCCCACCAAGCCGAAGAUCGGUACGGGCCAUGAGAGUGGGAGCCCGGAGAUGGACACUGAGACACGGGUCCAGGCCCUACGGGGCGCAGCAGGCGCGAAACCUCCGCAAUGCGGGCAACCGCGACGGGGGGACCCCCAGUGCCGUGGCACAGCCACGGCUUUUCCGGAGUGUAAAAAGCUCCGGGAAUAAGGGCUGGGCAAGGCCGGUGGCAGCCGCCGCGGUAAUACCGGCGGCCCAAGUGGUGGCCGCUAUUAUUGGGCCUAAAGCGUCCGUAGCCGGGCCCGUAAGUCCCUGGCGAAAUCCCACGGCUCAACCGUGGGGCUUGCUGGGGAUACUGCGGGCCUUGGGACCGGGAGAGGCCGGGGGUACCCC